GAGGCAUAGCUCAGUUGGUCAGAGCGCACGGUUCACAUCCGUGAGGUCGUAGGUUCGAACCCCACUGUCUCC
rnacentral:tRNA from 1 species